GACGAACGCUGGCGGCGUGCUUAACACAUGCAAGUCGAACGGAAAGGCCCUGCUUUUGUGGGGUGCUCGAGUGGCGAACGGGUGAGUAACACGUGAGUAACCUGCCCUUGACUUUGGGAUAACUUCAGGAAACUGGGGCUAAUACCGGAUAGGAGCUCCUGCUGCAUGGUGGGGGUUGGAAAGUUUCGGCGGUUGGGGAUGGACUCGCGGCUUAUCAGCUUGUUGGUGGGGUAGUGGCUUACCAAGGCUUUGACGGGUAGCCGGCCUGGGAGGGUGACCGGCCACAUUGGGACAGAGAUACGGCCCAGACUCCUACGGGAGGCAGCAGUGGGGAAUAUUGCACAAUGGGCGGAAGCCUGAUGCAGCAACGCCGCGUGCGGGAUGACGGCCUUCGGGUUGUAAACCGCUUUCGCCUGUGACGAAGCGUGAGUGACGGUACUGGGUAAAGAAGCACCGGCUAACUACGU
rnacentral:rRNA from 1 species